AUGACUGGAAGAACUUCCCAUAGACUAGCUCCUGCCCCUGACACUCGAAACCCUGUUUCUCCUCCGCUGCUGCGUAUGUUGGGAACAUUCACCAAGGGAAUGUCUCAGAUUCCAGAGGCUCGUUCACACAGCUGCGGAACCUCCGGCCCUGAGAGCUCAACUUUGCCUCAGCUGGACCCAGGGUAUUGUGGUGAAUCCAGCACCACAGAACAUGAAGGCAAAUGUGAUAGAGAAAGACGGCAACUCAAAUGCAUUGUGAUUAAUGCAUCUUUCUUUUGCAAAUCUUAUAAAAAUAUAACUGUGUCAAAACAUUACGAGGGCUCCUUCCCCGGUUUUGCUGCCACUCCCACUGUGGGUAAAGGCCACCUGAUGCCGAGUGUCCACCUCCCGCUGCCCACCACAUACCCCUCCUGUGCUUUCUCUGUCAUUUCCCUCCUCCGUCUCUUCAUUUUCCCACUGAGAAGAACGUGCCAUGAGGUGUCUGAGAAGGGCAGAGGACCCACAAAACUGCACCAGGAGAAGCAUAGAGUGGCAGUGCUUCCGCAGCUGGAUUUUGCACACACGUCAAUUCAGGUUUAACAGAAUUUCGGUAAGAUUUCUAUUUGGAAACUUUAAAAAAUGAAUCCAACAUACGCUUUAAUGACAAAUAAGUGACAAUAACCAAAAAAGAAAAUUCAAAAAGUGGAGAUGGUGGGUGAAAUAGUUGGGAUACUAAUGCCACCAAAAUCUCUCGUAAAAAACAAAGACAAAUCAAAGACUGGUCCUGCACUCAAUAACUAUUAACUGAGCUAAAAAUAUAUUCAAGGGACAGAAUUAACAGAACUCAAUCACAUCACGGGAUAUAUACAAAUGGAUUCUAUAGUACAAAUGAAAGAAAUGCAUAUGCAAUAAGUUGUUGGGAAAAUUCACCAAGGGAAUGUCUCACAAAUCCACCGGUGUGGUGGAACCAGAGCCAACAGUGCACCUCCCCUCCCUGCUCCACCAUCAGCCAAAGCUUGGGAAUUGGCCAUCUGGGAGUAUUUACACCACAGAAAGCAGCAAAUGUUACACAUCAAGGUUGUGUGGGGUUUCCCCCCUAGAGACAGUUGUUAACAAUUGCCAUCACACUACUGGCUGAUAUACACAAACUUAAUUUCAGACUAAGUGAAAUUUAAGUGUCAACAGUAAGAACUUUAAUGAGCUGGAAAGACAUAAAUAGGUAUUUAACCAAGCUCUAUGUGAAAGCAAUGGAAGGGCACUCGGAGUGCAGGAUCCACUGAUUUCUCACACCUGGGAAUUAACAAUGCAUGGACAUAAAAUAGGAAACACAAAAUUCAAACUACGUGACACACUGAGAAAACGAUAUAGAUGAAGAUACAUGGUUCACAUUUACAUCAAUAAGUAAUAUACAACAUCGUAUUAGAAAAUGAACAAAGAAAAGGUAAACCAGAAAGAAAUGAAAAAUAAAGAAUAAAUAUCAAAAAAUAUUCCACCUCAGUAACAAUAAAAGAAAUGAACAUGAGGUGCUGAUGUAACAUGAUUUUCGAAUCCAGUGGAAGAUACUCUGAAAU
ensembl:lncRNA